rnacentral:rRNA from 1 species
GAUGAACGCUGACAGAAUGCUUAACACAUGCAAGUCUUUGGCGAAUCUGUGCUUGCACAGGCUAGCCAAGGCGGACGGGUGGGUAACGCGUAAAGAACUUGCCCUGCAGACAGGGAUAACAGACGGAAACGACUGAUAACACCUGAUACAGUUGCCGGCACGCAUGUGCCUGGCAAUGAAAAGAGAUGCUGCAGGAGAGCUUUGCGUCCUAUUAGCUUGUUGGUGAGGUGACGGCUCACCAAGGCGAUGAUAGGUAGCCGGCCUGAGAGGGUGAACGGCCACAAGGGGACUGAGAUACGGCCCUUACUCCUACGGGAGGCAGCAGUGGGGAAUAUUGGACAAUGGGGGCAACCCUGAUCCAGCAAUUCUGUGUGCACGAAGAAGGUUUUCGGAUUGUAAAGUGCUUUCAGCAGGGAAGAAGAAAGUGACGGUACCUGCAGAAGAAGCGACGGCUAAAUACGUG